rnacentral:rRNA from 1 species
GGGUGAGUAAUGCGUAGGAAUCUACCUAGUAGUAUGGAAUAGCCAUUAGAAAUGAUGGGUAAUACCGUAUAAUCCCUGCGGGGGAAAGAUUUAUCGCUAUUAGAUGAGCCUACGUUAGAUUAGCUAGUUGGUAAGGUAAUGGCUUACCAAGGCUAUGAUCUAUAGCUGGUCUGAGAGGACGAUCAGCCUCACUGGAACUGAGAUACGGUCCAGACUCCUACGGGAGGCAGCAGUGGGGAAUAUUGGACAAUGGGCGAAAGCCUGAUCCAGCUAUGCCGCGUGAGUGAAGAAGGCCUUCGGGUUGUAAAGCUCUUUCAAUAGGGAAGAUAA